rnacentral:lncRNA from 1 species
AAUGAUAUAUCAUAAGUUUUAUUUUUCUAGUAUUUCACAAACGACACAAAUUCUAGAUCCAUUAGAAAGAGGUAACCUUAUAUGUUAUGACAUCUCACAAGCAUCCGCCAAGAGAAGACCUCCGCGAGGUUCUCGACGCUCAAGCUACGUGUGUUGCCUCACUAGUUCUUUGUCGUUCGAUUGCGUCAUUACAUCCACUAAUGUAUGGCAAAUUGUCGCUCAGCGCCCUGUGAUGGGCCGGGCCAUUACACUGUGUAUUUUAAUACUUCCAAAACUAUACGGUAAAUGGGAAUCGAACCAGGGACAUCCGUUUUUCAAGACGACGUGCUAACCACCCGAC